rnacentral:lncRNA from 1 species
AUGAGCAACUUACAAUUGACAAACAUGCUCUGGAGGGACUUGUUCACAACCUAACCGAGGUCAGACAUCUGUUUUUGGAUGGAAUCAACAUGACUUCUGUUAAUGCUCAUGUCUUCAUGAAUCUAUCCUCUUCUCUAAGAUCUCUCAGUCUUGCUGGUUGUGAUUUGCAAGGAAAAUUCCCAAAAAACAUUUUUGAUUUGCCAAACCUCAAUCUCCUCAACUUGGGAGGCAACCAAUUGAGUGGACAAAUUCCAAGAUCAUUGGGGAACCUCUUGCAACUCACUGUUUUAGACUUGUGGGGGAACAAAUUGAGUGGACAAAUUCCAUUGUCAAUUCUAAACCUAACGCAGUUGGAAUACUUGGUAAUAUCUGAAAAUUCUUUAGAAGGUUCUAUUCCAGAUGAGGUAACCGCUGUUCCGAAUCUAAUAUAUUUAGUCUUAUAUGACAAUUUACUCAAUGGAACACUUCCGUCAUGGUUGUAUACUGCUCCCUCCUUAAAGGGUAUAAUUCUCUCUCAAAAUCAAUUCAGUGGGCAUAUCAAAGAAUUCCAAACCAAAUCACUAGAAUAUUUAGAUCUAGAAAAUAAUAAACUCCAAGGUCCCCUUCCAUCUUCAAUAUUCCAACUUCUCAAUCUUACCGGGCUCCUUUUAUCCUCAAAUAAUCUUAGUGGUGUCAUAGAGUUUCGCAUGUUCUCAAACCUUCCAAAUCUCAAAUAUCUUUACCUUUCAUAUAACAACCUAUCCUUAACAUCUAAUUCUACUUCUACUGUUAAUCAUAUAUUGCCUAAUCUUACAGACGUACUUUUGUCAUCUUGCAAUCUUAGUGAAUUCCCCCAGUUUUUAAAAGGGCUUAAAAGUUUGGAAAGCUUAGACCUCUCUUGCAACAAAAUUGAAGGCAAGAUUCCACAGUGGAUGCAAGAGGUGGGGAAUGUCUCUUUGACUUACUUCAACGUAUCUCACAACUCUUUGACAGAAGUUGAGCACUUUCCAUGGAAGAAUAUUGAAAGGCUUGACUUAAGCUCCAAUUUGAUCAGUGGAAAUCUUCCGAUUCCAGCUUCGACCAUCAGUGUCUUUUUUAUCUCAAAUAAUAGUUUCAAUGGAGAGGUCUCUUCUUUAAUAUGCAAUGCCAGUUCUCUUCGAAUUCUUGAUUUGUCCCACAAUAACUUGAGUGGACCAAUUCCGCAAUGUUUUGGAAAUUUGAGUGACAGCCUUGAAAUCUUGAAUCUGAAGAAGAACAAGUUCUAUGGGACGAUUCCUCCAAAAUUUGCAAAGGGAUGCCGAUUGACUAAUUUCAACUUAAAUGGAAAUCUGUUAGAAGGGCCAUUGACUCCAUCCAUCCUUAAUUGUAGGGGUCUGGAAGUGCUAGAUCUUGGUAACAACAAGAUCAAUGAUACAUUUCCUCAUUGGUUGGGAAGUCUUCCACAGCUACAAGUUCUUGUAUUGAAGUCAAAUCAUAUGCAUGGUUCCUUAUGUGUCAAUAGCUCUAAGUCUAGCCCUUUUUUCUCUAAAAUCCAAAUUUUUGACCUCUCAAGUAACUAUUUUUCUGGACCCCUACCAGUGAGAUACAUCAACAGCUUCAAGGCUAUCAUAAAUGUAGAGAAGAUUGGUAGUACAGUGUCGUACAUGGGGGUGAAUGAUGAUGGAGGUGACUUCUAUACCUAUUCCAUUGGAAUUGUCAUGAAAGGGAGAGAUAUGGAAUUGGUGAAAAUUUUCACCAUGUGGAUGAUCAUUGAUCUAUCAAACAAUCAGUUUGAAGGGGGUAUUCCAGAGGUUUUUGGGAAGCUUAACUUACUGAAAGGGCUCAACCUUUCUCAUAAUAACCUUAAUGGUGGUAUCCCCACCUUAAUAGGGAAUUUGACAAGUCUUGAAUGGUUGGACCUAUCUUCAAACAGGUUGUCUGGGACGAUUCCAAAUAGAUUGGCAGAUCUGCCAUUUCUUUCGUCCUUCAAUGUUUCUGAAAAUCAACUCCAUGGUCAGAUUCCUCAAGGCAAACAGUUCAACACAUUUGGAAAUGAUUCAUAUGAAGGAAACAAGGCAUUAUGUGGAUUUCCGGUCUCAAAAGGUUGCAACAUCAUUGAGCCAGCACCUCCAAAUGUGCUUGAAAAAGAUGGCUCAAAAUCAAACAUUACUUUUGGUUGGAAAGUGGUGUUGAUAGGUUAUGGAUGCGGAGUGGUGUUCGGAAUGUCCGUGGGAUAUGUUGUUUUCCAAACUGGUAAGCCGAAAUGGUUGGUGAAUUUGGUUGAAAUCCAACAUGAGAAGAAGCGAAGAAGAAAGUCAAAGGAUGGCAGUCGCAGCAAUGGACGAAGAAGAAUCUAGUUAGUGGAAAUGAUGUUCAAGUGUUGAUGUUGUAUCUUCAUAAUUUCUUGUUUUGAAGUCUGUCAAAUUUUUUUCCUAUCGUGAAAGGCUGCAUUGCCAUGCAUCUGUCUUUUUUAUUGUAACCAUUCAUCUAUAUUUCAUUGCAUUACGUAGUAUUUGUAAGGGUUUGUUUUAAAUGUAACAUUUUGUAUGGUUCAACUAUUUAUGUCUCUUUCAUGAGUUUCAUUUUUGAGUCUCAAUAAUCUCUGCAUUCAAGAUUUUGUCAGCUUAUUAAUUGGUGGAUCAAUAAUCUUCAUGCUCAUCUCAUCAUCUUUUUCUCGAGUUAAACACAGUCACUACUAUAAUAAUUUCUUCUGUGUGGAAAAUAAUUUGGCAUUCUGCAAAUUUCCACAAUGCUUGUGGAUUACCUCUGGUUGACGGCUAUACAUAUAAAGGAAGGAAACAAGACUAUGUCAAAAUUUCCAAAAAUCAGUCAUUCAUUUUUGAACAAUUAAACAUUCCUAUUCUAUUUUUCAAAAUUGUAAAUCCUCAAAUAAUGUAAAUUAGUCCUAAAACUCAAGUUUUGAAAUCUUUACAAUUUAACCCCUUAUAGUUUCAAACUUUACUAUUUUAUGCUCAACUUUCUAAAUCUUCAUAUUUCAUGAUCAUAUAAUUUAGUUAUUACAUCAAUAUUUCAGAUUUCACUACUCAAACCCUUACUUCAUUUUGGUCCUUACUUCAAUUUUUUCAAAUUAAAUCAAUUUUCAAUUUGACUGCAUUGAUGUGAAAUUGAGGGAGCACUAAACAAUGUUGAUGCGAGUUUAGGUAAAAUUGGUGGAUCCCAUCUCCUUAGUAAUUUCUUUAUGGAAGUAGCUGCUUUCACACUGCAAACUUGAAUAGUUUGUGGUGGACGAUGAUGAAUCAUUUGACAAUCAAACACAUAAUUUUUAAACACAAAAUUAACGAUAUUUUGAAAUCAUUAUUGAAAUUAUAAUCAAAAUUAAUACAUGUUCUUUUUAUUAGCUUAAGGUCGUAAAAACCCUUCAAAAUUUUCAAAAAAAAAAAAAAUUUAAGUCCCUCUUUUUUUUUUUCUAAUUUUUAAUAAAAGUAGGGGCUUAAUUGCUUUUUUUUUUUUAAGUUUGAGGGUCUUUUUGAUGCAUUUUGAAAGUUCAAGUACCCAAUUGAGUGCAAGAAGAAAGUAGGGGCUUAAUUGCUUUUUUUUAUGUAUUUUGAACGUUCAUGUACCCAAAUGAGUGCAUAAAAAAAACAGGGGUUUAGUUGCUAUUUUUGAAAAGGGUUUGAGGGCUUUUUGCACCCUUAAACCUCUUUUCUUUUUCUAAAUUUAAUUUAGAACCAACUUUGAGUAAAGACUUGGGAAAUUUAAUUAGCAAAAUUUCUUUCCAUGUAAAUAUUUCCCCUAUUUCUUGUUGGAAUUUAAAGCAAUACAAUAUUUUUGUAGCUAGUAACAGAAAACGACAGUCAAUUAAUUCCAAGCAAUACAAAAUAUCCAGUCUGGUGGAAAAUUUGUUUGUUAGAUUCUAUUAUUCAACUUUUAAGGCAUAAGUCUGAAUAUAGGGACUAAAUUUUUAAAGUGUUGUUUAUUUUAAAAUCUAUUAAUAUAUACACACUUAGGGACCAUAUAUAUAUAUAUCAUAUAUAUAUAUAUAUAUUCCAUUCUGGAUCUUUGUCGUGUUUUGUUGGUUGGCUCUGGCCUUGUUGUUGUUUCCACUGCCUGUGGUCUCUGUUUCUAAGUCAUAUGUGGCCUUGUUUGCUAGACCUUAGUUGCUCUUCACAUGUCUUGUAUUUUGUCAAGUUAAUUGAAAUGGAAAAUAAAAGUGUUGGCAUUACAGAUUAGAGUAAAAGGAAUUAGUGUUGAAGUUGGGGUUGUUCAAUUGUUGGAAUUCAUGUGUGUAUUUUUUUGAGUAUCUGGGUCUUUGUCGUGUUUUCUUGGUUGGCUAUGGCGGCCUUCUUGUUGUUCCCACUGUCUGUGGUAUUUGUUUCUAAGUCAUAUGUGGCCUUGUAUGCUAGACCUUAGUUGCUAAGUUAAAGGGAGUGAAUAGAGCACCAUAUUUCUUCUUCUGCGUGGAAAAUAAGUUGGCAUUAUGCCAAUUUCCACAUUCAUACAUAUAAAGGAAGCAAGAGCAAGUCAAUAUACUUUGUAAUCUCAUCAAUUCUUCUUCUUUCUUUAGGGAGUUCAAAUGAAAUACAAAUUUUUGGUAAAUCAACUCUUCAUUUUUAUGAAUAAAAAUUAUAUGGUAGAAAGGAAGUGGUGUUAAUAAUAAUAAUAAUAAUAAAAAGAUUAACAAUAGAACACUAAUAAAGCAAUUUAGUCUAUGAUCUGCACAAUAUAUUACUACAAAUGUACCGUACAGAAUAUUGAAAGAAAACUAAUAAAGAAGUUCGAAAUUUAAACAAUGUUCCGCAAAUUAUGUUUAUGAUCUGCUGUAAAUUGAUAUGUUAAAUCAACUCUUCAUUUUUAUGAAUAAAAAUUAUAUGGUAAAAAGGAAGUGGUGUUAAUAAUAAUAAUAAAGAUCAACAAUAGAAAACUAAUAAAGCAAUUUAGUCUAUGAUCUGCAUAAUAUAUUACUACAAAUGUACCGUACAGAAUAUUGAAAGAAAACUAAUAAAGAAAUCCGAAAUUUUAACAAGGUUCCGCAAAUUAUGUUUAUGAUAUGAUGUAAAUUGAUAUGUCAAAUUUUGUGGCAAGUAAUAGAAAAUGACAAAUUCCACAUUCAUACAUAUAAAGGAAGCAAGAUCAAGUCAAUAUACUUUGUAAUCUCAUCACUUCUUCUUCUUUCUUUAGGGAGUUCAAAUGAAAUACAAAAUUUUGGUAAAUCAACUCUUCAUUUUUAUGAAUAAAAAUUAUAUGGUAAAAGGAAGUCUUGUUAAUAAUAAUAAUAAGAUUAACAAUAGAAAACUAAUAAAACAAUUUAUCCAAAUAUCAAAAUAAAUAUUAACUUUUUCAGAAACCAAAAUUAUUUUCUAAAAAUUAUUUUUUAAAAACUAUUUUUAGUGAAACAAACUGAGUCUUAGCCCAUAUUGUAAAUUAUUUUGUGGGUCUGGAAUUCUUGUACAUUAUGCUGCAAAAGAGUGAAAUUUCCUUACAGCUAGUCGAUCAAGUUUGGUUGAAAUUGAAUGCAUUGAUGUGAAAUUGAGGGAGCCUAAACAAUGUUGAUGCGAGUUUAGGUAAAAUUAGUGGAUCCCAUCUCCUUAGUAAUUUCUUUAAGGAAGUAUCUGCUUUCACACUGUGUUGACAACUUCCCACAGAUCAAAGGCCUGCAGGUAAGUCUUCAUAUUUACCAGCCAUAUGUGAAAACCUUCUCCAUUGAAGACUGGUGGGACUGCUGGUGAAAAUCCUGAAGAAGCCAUCAGGUUUCUUGAUUUGAAGCAACAGGUCCACUAAGAAAAGGGCUCUAGAUACCAAUUGUUGGUGUAAAAGGGCAGAAGCAAACUGAUUUAAGCUUGCUUAUACAGCAAGCCUCGAGCCUUGUAGAAGAAACAAUCUCAGCAGAAAGCAAAAAUGAAGCUUGCAGUUGGAAAAACAAGAAAACAAGGAGAGAAUUUGAAUGAAAAACAAGCUGAGUUGUUCAUUAACAUUACAACAAGGCAUAUUGCCAUUACAUAUAUCAGUUAACUUGUCAAAUAAACAAGUAAUCACCUAAUCAAUUACCUAACACCACUAAUAUGCAUUGAAACUUACAAAAUUAGCUUGCAAACAUUACAUUGCUGAUAUUUCAGUCAAUCAACAUCAAAAUUACACCAAAACAUUCACCUGCUUAGUUCAAUGUGAACUAGAUUACAAAAUGAUUAAAAUACAACUAAAACAACAAGUGGUUCAGUAACUUGAAGCUUCAGCUGCUGCACACCAUGGCUCGAUUGCCUGCUGCCAUUUCUUCUUGCAUGGCCACCUUUGCAUGGGAACUAAACUCAACAUACACGAACUAAUGCAAAUAUGCUAGUGGUUUAUUUUCCACCUAUCUGAUUUUUUAAAAUGUUCUUCAGUUACACCAGUUGAUGCAAUCUAUUAUUACCUGCCUCGUUGCAAAAAGGUUAGGAAAUAAAUUCACCGACAAUCAUUGGGAACUAAGAAACUUCGCAGCAAAGCUAGUGGCAUCAAUAUGCAAAAGGUGAAGAUUCUUUUCUUUUGGACUUAUACAUGCAUAUUCGUUUUUAUGAAUUUCAGGUGUCUGAGUUUUUAGUUAUAAACUUGGAUCUAUUCUUCAAAUCAUGUGUAUAUCAUUUUUAUGCUAUUUCACACUUGCAAAACAAAUGGUGCGAGCGUGCAUGUUAUAUGCAGAAUACAUAGAUUAAUUACAUGUGGAUCAUUAAGCAUGCCUAUGUUUGACGAUUGUGUGUGGCUACCUUUUUUUACAUGAUCCAAUUUUCGAUAUGCUUUGCUUUUAGGUUGAAUGCGGAAAAGAUUAGAACUUAAUUUCCAGCAUAAUGAUUUGUCUUGGAUAUGCAGAUUUUACAUGCAUUUCUUACAAGUCAAUAUUUUAUAGAUUUGGGCAUGUUUAUCACAAUCUUCAGCCACGUGUGACAAGGACACUGCUCCACGCUUUUUUGGACCCAACGAAAACAUUUCCCCAGUAUUACGGAGCAAUUCAAGGGUUAGCAGCCCUUGGACCCAGUGUGGUAUAAUUCUAAUCUCAAAUAUUUACUAGCAACACAAUAAGAUACUUGUUUGUGGGAUCAAUUGGUCAAAGAUAUUGCAAUGAUAGCCAUCUUUUUAAGCCCAUUUCUUUCAGAAAACUGUUUUGUCACUCUUUUCUGCAAGAUCCGAAGAAAGAAAGAACAUGGAAAUCUUUAGUCCAAAAGUGUAAAUAUGCGGUUUCUCUAUAGCUAUCUUGAUUAUGGCAUCUGUAAAGUUUGUCUUUCAUAUGUUUGGCUAACGCUUCUUCAUCCAUAUGUAGGUUCGUUUACUUAUACUACCAAACCUUGAAGCGUAUUUGCAGCUUCAUGAACCUGAAAUAAAAAGACACGAGGCCUGGUGUUUUUAUGGGGCCCUGCUGGUAAGUUUAACAUCAAAUUUGGUACCAGUUUACGAGCAUCAUUUCAUUUAUUUGCUAUAGAACUAACAACACUGCAUAAAAUUUCCACUAAAAGCGUGCAGCUGGACUGUGCAUGUAUGAUCGGCUUAAAAUGUUCCCCAGUUUGCUAGCACCCCCAACUCGGCCCGUCUGGAAAAGCAACAACAAAGUUGCGACAAGUAUGAUUUCUUCGAACCAUCAUAUUUACACUUAAUCCACAGGUCUCUUCUCCCCCUUUACGAUUUUCCUUUUUCUGAUCAAUCAAGAUAAACGAAAAGCAAGCACGGACGCCUUGAUGCAGCAGCAACCACCUGCGAAGAAAAUAGCAACUGAGAGUGCAAUAGGUAUGAUGCCAAUAAAUUCCAUGCAAACUGAUUUACAAGGGGCAGUUAGCAGCUUUUCUACCACCGUAGGAGGUUCCAAUAUCGGUGUAUCAUCAAUGUCACGGCCGUUAUCAAACGAUAACAUGCUAGGAAGGGAGGUUGGGGGUCGAGUUUCAAGGACAUCAACCGUUCUAGCUCAGGCUUGGAAGGAAGACACAGACCCAGGGAACUUGUUAGCAUCAUUAUUUGAACUUUUUGGUGAAAGUAUGUAAUUAAAAUAAUAUAUUGGCUUAACCCUCCUAAAUUAUGUAUUUUUUUCCAUCUUGGGACCUAAAUUUUUUUGGGGUCAUAAGUGGUACCUAAACUACAUUUUUUCUCCUUCAAAUUAGUAUCUUCAUUAAUUAAACCGUUAAGUCUAUUUAAAAAAGAAAGACUCGAACAACAAAUUAAUACCUAAACAGUGCUCUUUUUCUCAAGGUACCUAAUUUUUAUUUUGGCCAUAAGUACUACUAAAACUAUUCUUCCGUUACUCAUUUUACACCAAAAUGUUAUAUCGGCUGAAAAGAUUCCAACAAAUAAUAGAUUGUAUGUUAUAUAAACUUUUAAAAAUAAUUAUUAUUUAAUUAAUUUUUUAUAUUUUUCUUUCUUAUUCCUUUCUAAUGUUUGGCAAUGCUGAUAAUGUUUGAAAUUGUCCCACUUGAGGUCAAAAUACUGGUGAUUAAUUUUGGUUUUGAAUUUCACCACCUACUUCUUUGACCUAAGGGGAUAGAAAAUGUUCUUUUAUCGAUCAAAACUAGUAUUUUCAAAAACAGAUUGAUUCAACUGGUUGGAUAGGAAAUCGGUCUGGAAAUAAGGGUUGAAUCGAUUGACUUGCGACCAAAAACAAAUCAGUUGAACUAAGUUAAAAAAACUGGUUGAACUAGUUCUCUCCAUUUAUAUAUAUAUAAAUAAUAAUAGUCUUUUUUUGUACUAUAUGUCAAUUUUUAAUUGGUUAAUUUUUUUUUUCAUAUAAACUGAACGGUUUGACUAAUGACGGAGGUACCAAAUUAUAGUCUAGGUACCAAUUCAUGGGUUAAGCCUAUUUCUACAAUAGACUUUUGACUAAUGGCGGUAGUAACUUGGGAAAAAAAAAGUAGUUUAUGUACCACUUGUGACAAAAAAUAAGUUUAGGUACUAUCAUGGGAAAAUGAGUAUAAUUUAGAUACUAAUUUAUGAGUUAAGCCUAAUAUAUUUGCCACAUCAUUUUUUGAAAAUAACAGAACUUAAUAAAUUUAACGGUUAUUAUUUGAUGAUGACUAAAAUUUUUAAAUUUGAAAAGUACAUGAACUAAAAAUGACCAAAUUAAAGUAUAAAGAUUAAGUCCACAACUUUUGCAAAGUACAAGGACUAAUAGCAGAAAUUAACCUAAAUUUCAUAUGGGUCAAUUACAAUAAUAAUCACUAAACUAUUCCUUUGGUUCUAUUCUAGUCACUCAACUAUAGAGCUGCUCAUGAGCCGGGCCAGGUUAGGCCUAAGCAUGAUAUUAACGUACUUUAUGCUUGCUCAAGCUUGGCUCGGCCCGAAAUAUGAGCUUAAAAUUUCGCCUAAACUCAUCAAUAUUUGCAAAAGACUAACCCAAGCUCAUUUUAGGCAUGCCCAUAUAAUUUUUAGUUUUUUUUUUUUAAAUAUUUAUAUUAUAUUAUUUUAAGAAUUAAUAAUUUGAACUAUAGUAUUAUUAUAUAUUUAGUAUAAGUUUAUUUUUUAAUCUGUUCUAAAUUAUAUAAUAUAAAAUAUUAUACACUUAAAAACGGGCCGGGCUGGGCUCGAGCUUUAAAUGUUCAAGUCUUAACCCGGCCCAUAUUUUAAACGGGCUUAAUUUUUUUACCAAAACCCAAUUUUCGGGCCUAAUUUUUUUACUCAGACCCUCCCAAAUUUUGGGCUGCCCUUGGGCUUUGGCAAGUAGCCCAACUCAUGAACAAGUUUACUCAACUAUUAAUUUUUUCGAUUUAGUUGUUAACCUUUUCGAAAGUAAAUAUUUUAGUCAUUCUCCUAUUAGUUGUUGUUAAACGAGUGACGGAAAGCUGAUGUGGGCUUUUUUUAUUAGUCUAAUAACAAAUUUAGCCCUCCAAUGUUUACACAUUCUAUCAAUUUGAUCCUAGAUAUAAAAAAAUCAACAAAUUUAGCCCUGAAUGUUAACAAAACUUGUCAUUUUAGUUCAAAUUCUAAAAAAUUUAAUAAAUUUAACCCUUAAUAUUUUCAAAAAUUAGCAAUUUAGUUCUAAUUCUAAAAAUUUUAAUAUAUAUAUUUAAAAAAAUAUUUUUAAUCAUCUGUCUCACCCUUUGAUUUUUUAGAUGAGCUAAAAUCAAAAUGAGAUAAAAAAAAAUAAAAAGUUAAAAUGACUUUUCGUUUGUAAAGUUAAAAAAUGCUAAAUAAAUCAUUAUGUCUUUUUAGUUUUAAUUUUUUACUUGAUUAAAAGAGAAAUAAUUAACAAAUGAAAAAUAAUUAUUUCUAUAUAAAUUUAUCAAAAUUUAUAACAAAUGAUAUUUUAGAUUUGAAUUAUCAGACUAUAUAUAUAUAAGUAUACACAUUUUUAUGAAAUAAAAGAUUUUGCUAAAAGAAAAAGCAUCCAAUUUUAAGAAUGAAAAAUAUAUGGUAAAAGCAUCCAUAACUUUUCAAUGUUAAAGACAAAAAAGACUGUAACACCAAUGUUGUGGUAUUAUUUGUUGCCUAUAAAUACCAUUCCUAUCCUUCUUCUUCCUCUACCAACAUAACAUGGCCUCCUAUCUCUUUCUCUCCCUAUUCCUCUUCUUUCUCCAUCUUUAUGCUUCUUUUUCUUCUUCAGGAUCUCACUCCUGCUCUUCACUAAUCCAGUUUAAGGACUCCUUUUCCAUAAGAGAGGAUGCUUCUUUUGAUCAUUGCGAUUAUUUUGCUGGCCUUAAAUCUUAUCCCAAGACAAAUUCAUGGAAGGAGGGUACAGAUUGCUGCUCAUGGGAUGGGGUCACUUGUGACCACCUAAAUGCUCAUGUUAUUGCCCUUGACUUGAGCUGCAGUUGGCUAUAUGGCACCUUCCCUUCCAAUACCACUCUCUUCCUUCUUCCUCACCUUCAAAAACUCAACCUUGCCUACAAUGAUUUUAAUUCUUCCAAAAUUCCAUCCGAGUUCGGUCGGUUUACAAGCCUAUUCUACCUCAACCUUUCCAAUACAUGGUUUUCAGAAGUCCCAUCCCAAGUCUCCCACCUGUCAAAAUUGGUUUCACUUGAUCUUUCUGGGUUUGAUGAACUAUUAACAAUUGACAAAUAUGCUCUGGAGGGUCUUGUUCACAACCUAACCGAGGUCAGACGUCUGUUUUUGGAUGAAAUGGACAUGUCUUCAGUUAAUGCUCAUGUCUUCAUGAAUCUAUCCUCUUCUCUAAGGUCUCUCAGUCUUGUUGGUUGUGAUUUGCAAGGAAAAUUCCCAAAAAACAUUUUUGAUUUGCCAAACCUCAAUCUCCUCAACUUGGGAGGCAACCAAAACCUCAAUCUUGAUCCUUUGAAGUUCAAUCGGAGCAGCAAUCUUGAACAAUUGAUAAUUUCAGACGCAAAUAUUUGUGGAGGAUUGCCUGACUCGAUGGGGAAUCUUGUGUCCUUGAAGUUUUUAGUUCUCUCCCAUUCCAACUUAUCAGGACUGGUUCCAAGAUCACUGGGGAAUCUCUUGAAACUCACUCAUUUAGACUUGUCGGAGAACCAAUUGAGUGGACAAAUUCCAAGAAAAUUGGGGAACCUCUUGCAACUCACUCAUUUAGACUUGUCGAAGAACCAAUUGAGUGGACAAAUUCCAAGAUCAUUAGGGAACCUCUUGCAACUCACUCAUUUAGACUUGUGGCUGAACCAAUUGAGUGGACAGAUUCCAAGAUCAUUGGGGAACCUCUUGCAACUCACUGUUUUAGACUUGGGAUGGAACAAAUUGAGUGGACAAAUUCCAUUGUCAAUUCUAAACCUAACGCAGCUGGAAUACUUGACAAUAUCUAACAAUUCUUUAGAAGGUUCCAUUCCAGAUGAGGUAACCGCUUUUCAUAAUCUAAUAUAUUUAGACUUAUCUGACAAUUUACUCAAUGGAACACUGCCGUCAUGGUUGUAUACUGCUCCCUCCUUAAAGACAAUAUAUCUCUCUCAAAAUCAAUUCAGUGGGCAUAUCAAAGAAUUCCAAUCCAAAUCACUAGAAUGGAUAUGGUUAGAGAAUAAUAAACUCCAAGGUCCUCUUCCAUCUUCAAUAUUCCAACUUCUCAAUCUUACCCAACUUAGCUUAUCCUCAAAUUAUCUUAGUGGUGUCAUAGAGUUUCGCAUGUUCUCAAACCUUCCAAAUCUCGAAUAUCUUGACCUUUCAUAUAACAGCCUAUCCUUAACAUCUAAUACAACUUCUACUGUUAAUCUUACAAGCUUAUUUUUGUCAUCUUGCAAUCUUAGUGAAUUCCCCCAAUUUUUAAAAGGGCUUAAAAGUUUGGAAAGCUUAGACCUCUCUUGCAACAAAAUUGAAGGCAAGAUUCCACAGUGGAUGCGAGAGGUGGGGAAUGGCUCUUUGACUCACUUAAAUGUAUCUCACAACACUUUGACAGAAGUUGAGCACUUUCCAUGGAAGAAUAUUGAUGUUCUUGACUUAAGCUCCAAUUUGAUCAGUGGAAAUCUUCCGAUUCCAGCUUCGACCAUAAGAGUCUUUUUGAUCUCAAAUAAUAGUUUCAAUGGAGAGGUCUCUUCUUUAAUAUGCAAUGCCGCUUUUCUUGAAAUUCUUGAUUUGUCCCACAAUAACUUGAGUGGAACAAUUCCACAAUGUUUUGGAAAUUUGAGCAACAGCCUUCUAUUCUUGAAUCUGAAGAAGAACAAGUUUUAUGGGACGAUUCCUCCAGCAUUUGCAAAGGGAUGCCGAUUGAGUAAUUUCAACUUAAAUGGAAAUCUGUUAGAAGGGCCUUUGACACCAUCCAUGAUCCAUCCUUAAUUGUAAUGGUCUGGAAGUGCUAGAUCUUGGUAACAACAAGAUCAAUGAUACAUUUCCUCAUUGGUUGGGAAGUCUUCCACAGCUACAAGUUCUUGUAUUGAAGUCAAAUCAACUGCAUGGUUCCUUAUGUGUCAAUAGCUCCAAGUCUAUCCCUUUUUUCUCUAAAAUCCAAAUUUUUGAUCUCUCAAGUAAUUAUUUUUCUGGACCCCUACCAGUGAGAUACAUCAACAGCUUCAAGGCUAUCAUAAAUCUAGAGAAGAUUGGGAGUACAAUGUCGUACAUGGGGGUGUAUGCUCAGAGAGGUAGUGCCUUCUAUACCCAUUCCAUUGGAAUUGUUAUGAAAGGACAAGAUAGGGAAUUGGUGAAAAUUUUCACCAUGUGGAUGAUCAUUGAUCUAUCAAACAAUCAGUUUCAAGGGGGUAUUCCAAAGGUUAUUGUGAAGCUUAACUUGCUGAAAGGGCUCAACCUUUCUCAUAAUAACCUUAAUGGUGGUAUCCCCACCUCAAUAGGGAAUUUGACAAGUCUUGAAUGGUUAGACCUAUCUUCAAACAGUUUGUCUGGGACGAUUCCAAAUAGAUUGGCAGAUCUGCCAUUUCUUUCGUCCUUCAAUGUUUCUGAAAAUCAACUCCAUUGUCAGAUUCCUCAAGGCAAACAGUUCAACACAUUUGGAAAUGAUUCAUAUGAAGGAAACAAGGGAUUAUGUGGAUUUCCGGUCUCAAAAGGUUGCAACAUCAUUGAGCCAGCACCUCUAAAUGUGCUUGAAAAAGAUGGCUCAAAAUCAAACAUUACUUUUGGUUGGAAAGUGGUGUUGAUAGGUUAUGGAUGCGGAGUGGUGUUCGGAAUGUCCGUGGGAUAUGUUGUUUUCCAAACUGGUAAGCCGAAAUGGUUGGUGAAUUUGGUUGAAAUCCAACAUGAGAAGAAGCGAAGAAGAAAGUCAAAGGAUGGCAGUCGCAGCAAUGGAUGAAGAAGGAUCUAGUUAGUGGAAAUGAUGUUCAAGUGUUGAUGUUGUAUCUUCAUAAUUUCUUGUUUUGAAGUCUUUCAAUUUUUUUCCUAUGGUGAAAGGUUGCAUUGCCAUGCAUCUGUCUUUACUUUUGUAACAAUUCAUCUGUCAUAAUAUUAUAGAUUUUAUUGAUUUUAAUUUUUUCUCUAAUUUUUAAUAAAAAUAGGGGCAUAAUUGCUUUUUUUUUUUAAGUUUGAGAGUAUUUUUUAUGCAUUUUGAAAGUUCAAGUACCAAAUUGAGUGCAAAAAAAAAAAGAGUAGGGGCUUAAUUACUUUUUUUGAAAAUGUUUGAGAGCUUUUUUGAUGUAUCAAAUGAAAUACAAAUUUUGAGUAAAUCAACUAUUCAUUUUUAUGAAUAAAAAUUAUAUGGUAAAAAGGAAGUAGUGUUAAUAAUAAUAAAAAAGAUCAACAAUAGAAAACUAAUAAAGCAAUUUAGCCUAUGAUCUGCGCAAUAUAUUACUACAAAUGUACUGUACAAAAUAUUGAAGAAAACUAAUAAAGAAAUCUGAAAUUUUAACAAGUUCCGCAAAUAAUGUUUAUGAUUUGCUGUAAAUUGAUAUGUCAAAUUAGGCUCUCCAUCACACUUAAAAGUUUAUUUUCGAGCAAUUUAGAUAUCUUUGUUGCGUUUUUAUUUUGUUUUAGUUGUUUAUAUUAAUAAAUGAUUAGUGUGCAUUUUGAUGCUAUUUUAAGACCUGAGAUGGCCAAAUGGCACCCGGGGAAUCUAAUGAGGUUGGUGAGUGAUGCAGAGAGCCCAUGGUGGCCCGGAAGGAACGAAAAUGUUACCUAGAAAGAGGGUAUCGCAUUUCAAAGCAUGAAAGUCGUAAUACCCAUAACAAUGUUAAAAACAAGGAAGAUUGAGCCAUCAACAAUGUUAUCGUGAUACCGGUCAUAAGAUAUCGCGAUACCCAAAACUUCCAAGGAUCCCCCAAGACUGUUGUGGAUAUCGCGAUACCAAACUUUGGGUAUCGCAAUAUCAUUGAUGAGAGGAGACAAAAUAUAACUGUAGGGGUAAUCCUUUUCCAACAUGUGGAAUGGCCAUGGGAUGUGUUGUUUUCCAAACCGGUAAGGCGAAAAGGUUCGUGAAUUUGGCUGAAGACCAACAUGAGAAGAGGCGAAGAAGAAAGCCAAAAUAUAGCAAUCGCAUCAAUGGAUGAAGAAGGAUCUAGUUGGUUCAAAUGAAGUUAAAGCAUUUGUGCUGUGUCUUCAUAAUUUCUUGUUUAGUAGUCUGUCAGAAAGUUUUUCCUAUGGUGAAAAGUUGCAUUGCUAUGUGUCUGUUUUUAUGAUUGUACCAAUUCCUCUGUAUUUCAUUGCAUUUCGUACUAUUUGUAAGGGUUUAGUUCAGUGUAACAUCUUGUAUGGUGCAACUAUGUAUGUCUUCUUUCUUGAAUUUCAACUUUUAGUAAACAUUAUACUGCUCACCAUAAAAAAAAUACAUGUAGAAUUACAAAAGAUUCAAUUAUUCAAGUUUGAGUUGCAUUUAUAAACAUGUGAUGAUGAGAAUUCAUGAACAAAAGGUAUGGUUUGAGCCCUUUUGCAAUAUGCGUUUAUGUUGCAUUUACCUAUAUAUCUAUCGACAAAUUUAAGAGUAAUAUUUACAAUAGCAUUGCAGAGUAACAUAUUUACGAUUGGAUUACACAGUCAAAAGAUUGCAGCAACGAUGAGAUUAAUCCAAUUACAGGAAUUGAUAUCCUAAAUGGCUUUUAGGUACGUAGCUUCAUUGACGGUACAAACUAGUUAAAAUUUCCAGAAUUCAUGUCUUUGUUUUCCCUCAAGUAAACGUAGUCAAUACUGCAAAUGGUGUGGAAGUAUUGUACAUUGUGGCCCAAAUGUCCAAAAUUUCCACAUUGCUUGUAAAUUAAGUGAUGAAAACCAAAACUGUUUGAGGCAUCCAAUUACCCACAGAGAUAGGAAGUAAGGACGCAUGUAUAAUUAUUAUCAUUAAUUAAAGCAUAUAUAAUUACAUUAAAUAUAGGAUAAACUAUAAAAAUAAUCACUUUUAUUUACCUCAUAUUACAUUUUAGUCACUUAUGUUUGAAAUGUUACAUUUUGGUCACUUACGUUAUCGUUUUGGUACGAAGUGGUCACUCUACCGUUAAGCUCCGUUACCUCCCUAACGGCGAUUCUACGUGAUAGUCCAAAUGAGUUUUAAAUGCCAACUUAAAUGUCUUGCGUGGCUGUCUAAAUUAAAUUUAUUUAAUUAAAAACUUAUUUUCAUCUCAACAACCGGACAUUCAAGUUCGCAUUUAAAACCCAUUUAGACUGCCACGUAGGACUGCCGAUAGGGAGGUAACAGAGUUUGAUAGUAGAGUAACCACUUCAUAACAAAACGAUAAUGUAAGUGGCUAAAACAUAACAUUUCAAACAUAAGUAAUUAAAAUAUAAUAUAAGGUAAACAAGCCUUAAAUAUAUAAAUUACUAUGAUUACUAUCAAGAUAGCAUUGACCUGUUCAACAGGCGGAACCAAUAGAUCUGACCAUUUGGUGACUCUAGCAGUCGAUAAGUGUGAGUGGCAGACUGUGCAACUUGUAACUAUGUUAAUUGAUGAAAAGCUUUUUGAUAGAAGAUAAUAAACUAGUGGCAAUGGCAAACGGUUCCAAGACGAGGUGGGACACCGAGGCUUUGUGUAACAGGGGAAUAGAUGCACUCAAUGCUGGCGGCUGUUGACUUGUAUUUCUCUCUAACAAUUUAAAUCACCAGCUUGCUUCAUCCAUCUAUAAAUAAGGGUCUUCUUCAGUUUCAUAAAUGCAUAGAAAAUUAACAAGCUCAAAUUCCUUCUUUUCAUAUUCAUCUCUUUUACUUUGAAUUGCAACUUUAUCCUGCCUAAAUUCCUCAACCAUGAACCACCCAUCAGGACAGCCUCAAAAUGAACUUCCUUGGUCCGCCGGAUUCUGCGAUUGUUGCUCUGACCUGAAAACUUGUAACCCUUUCUUCUUUCUUCAAUAUCAGUUCUGUCUUUUUAAUUAUAUGAAUUAGUUUAUCAAUUAAAUAUAUGGACAUUUCAGGUUGCAUUUCAUACUGGUGCCCAUCCAUCACCUUUGGCCAGAUUGCUGAGAUUGUUGAUAAAGGGUCGACUUGUAAGUUAUUAAUUUCUAAAUUGAAAUCUUAUCAUCUUAGGUUUUGCAGACAUAUAUAUAUUUAAAGAGAUAUUAUGUAAUUAAUAAUAAUGUUGAAAAACACUGUUGGAUGGUGCAGCAUGUCGGGCAAGUAGGGCACUAUACACAUUAAUAAUGUUCAUCACCGGGUGUGGGUGCUUAUAUUCUGGCUGCUACCGAUGCAAACUGAGAAAGCAGUAUAACUUGAAAGGAGGCGAUUGUGGCGAUUGCAUGCGUCAUUUCUGCUGCGAGCCUUGUGCCUUGACACAAGAGUAUCGUGAGCUCCAGAACCGUGGAUUCGACAUGUCUAUCGGUAUGUCUACAUACCAAUAUUAUACCCCUUUUAAUUAUUCUUAAUAUAACUUCAAGUAUAUUAAUUGAGUAGCUGUAAACAAAUAUCUCCGAAUAAAUAUGUUGGUAAUGAUGAGAUAAAUUAUUGUUUGAGGUCAUUAAUUUUGUGGGGGUAUAUUUAUAUAUGCAGGUUGGCAUGCAAAUGUGGAGAAGAACCCAGGGCUGGCAAUGGCUCCAGCGGUAGAAAAAGGCAUGAGCAAAUAGAUGAUGAUGAUGAUGAGACCACUGCAUUAAUAUCAUCUUUACAUGUAACACUUAAUUCCUUGGCUUUCCAUAAUUGGUUGAUUGUACGGCUUGCCAAUUGAAUUUCAAGUUAUGUAUGUUUGUGAUUGUCAAAUAUAUUAAUAAAAAGUGUUACUAUUCAUGUUAGAUCUUCAUGAAUAAGAAUGAGAAUCGAAAAUAACUUGUAAUAUUGUGUGUGCAUGUUUGGUAUUUAGGUGAAAUACUUAGAAAGAGAGGUUGGAUUAAAUUAAUUUUUUAUUAUCAAAAUGGAUGAUUUUAAUUUUUAUAUUAAUAAAAAGAAUUAAAUAAAAUUAAUAUUUAUUGUUUUAGAAAAUGACAUCAAAUUAUUGUUUUUUAUAGUUCAAUCCAAAUAAAAUAUCUACAAAAUCAUUAAAAACUUUUAAAAUGUGACUUUGUUAAAUAGUAAAUAGCAUUUUUUUAAAAGGGUUCAUAUAUAUCGUGAUACCUAAAGUUGGCAACUUCUACUUAGUAUCUAAAUCGGUACAUAAACUUGAAAAUUGUAAGUCAACUUCGUAUUUUUAUAAGUAUGAUGAUGUUGGUGUAGUGUGAGGAAGAAGACUUGAAUGGGUUUGAUUAUUUUUAAUAAUACAGGAAUUUACAUAUUAUAAGUAAAUAGACACUCACAUUCUUUAUGUAUUAUAAGGAAGAAGACUAAGUCGAUCUACUUUGUAAUCUCAUCAAUCUUAAUUUUCUCAAUUGUUAAGGGAGUUCAAAUGAAAUACAAAAUUUUGGUAAAAAAAAGUAUCCAAUUUUGUGAAUAAAAAAUAUAUGGUAAAAAAGAUUUGGUAUCGAUACUUCGGCGCGGGUAUCAAUACUCGAUACAUUGCUUUUGGUUGGAAAGUAGUGUCUGGAACGGCCAUGGGAUGUGUUGUUUUCCAAACCGGUAAGGCGAAAAGGUUUGUGAAUUUGGUUGAAGACCAACAUGAGAAGAGGCGAAGAAGAAAACCAAAAUAUAGCAAUCGCAUCAAUGGAUGAAGAAGGAUCUAGUUGGUGCAAAUGAAGUUAAAGCAUUUGUGCUGUGUCUUCAUAAUUUCUUGUUUAGUAGUCUGUCAGAAAGUUUUUCCUAUGGUGAAAAGUUGCAUUGGUAUGUGUCUGUCUUUAUGAUUGUACCAAUUCCUCUGUAUUUCAUUGCAUUUCGUACUAUUUGUAAGGGUUUAGUUCGAGUGUAACAUCUUGUAUGGUGCAACUAUGUAUGUCUUCUUUCUUGAUUAUUGAAAUUAUAAUCAAAAUUAAUACAUGUUCUUUUUAUUAGCUUAAGGGCGUAAAAACACUUCAAAAUUUUCAAAAAAUAAAAUAAAAUUUUAAGUCCCUCUUUUUUUUACACUCAAUUGAAAUUUUUAAAAUGUAUCAAAAAUAUCUUUACAGUUCUUCAAAAAAAAAAACAAUUAAACCCCUAUUUUUUUUCCGCUCAAUUGGGUACUUGAACUUUCAUAAUGCAUCAAAAAUGCCUUAAAUUUUUUUCAAAAAAGCAAUUAAGCCCCUACUCUUAUUAAAAAUUAGAAAAAAAUCAUAAAAAUAAUAAAUUUUAGAAAAAAUUAUUAAAUUUUAAUAAAAAUUUAAAAUUUUAUUAAAAAUUAGAAUUUUUUUUUAGAAAAAUCGUCAAAAAAUAAAAAAUUAUAAAAUCCAUCAAAAAGUUUUAACAAUUAACUUUAACUAUUGAUCGUUAAAGUUAACGACCUCUAGUUUUUUCAAUUAAAGUCAUUAUGUGUCGCAACUCAACGUGACAUGUAGCGAAAAUAGAUAAAAAAGUAAAAAUCAAUAAAAGUUAUAGAAAAAUUAUAAAAUAUUUCUUUUGGUAGAAUAAUUUUUAUAAAUUUUUUUUACAAAAUUUAUAUUUCUUUACAUUUUGUAUAAUUUUCUUAUAACUUUAUAAAAUUUUAUAAAUUUUUAUAUUUCUAUAUAUUUUAAAAUUUUUUAAAAUUUUUAUAAAAUUUUACAAUUUUUAUAUAUUUUUAAUAAAUUUUUAAUAUUUGAUUUUUUAUUAAAAUUUAAUAAUAUUAUAGAUUUUAUUGAUUUUAAUUUUUUAUCUAAUUUUUAAUAAAAUUAGGGGGUUAAUUGCUUUUUUUUUAAGUUUGAGGGUCUUUUUGAUGCAUUUUGAAAGUUCAAGUACCCAAUUGACUGCAAAACAAAAAGAAAAAAAGUAGGGGCUUAAUUGCUUUUUUUGAAAAUGUUUGAGGGCUUUUUUGAUGUAUUUUGAAAGUUCAAGUACCCAAAUGAGUGCAUAAAAAGAACAGGGGUUUAGUUGCUAUUUUGAAAAAGUUUGAGGGCUUUUUGCACCUUUAAACCUCUUUUCUUUUUCUAAAUUUAAUUUAGAACCAACUUUGUGUAAAGACUUGGGAAAUUUAAUUAGCAAAAUUUCUUUCCAUGUAAAAAUUUCCCCUAUUUCUUGUUUGAAUUUAAAGCAAUACAAUAUUUUUCUAGCAAAUAAUAGAAAAUGACAGUCAAUUAAUUCCAGCAAUACAACAUUUCCAGUCUGGUGGAAAACAGCUAGGGACCAAAUUUUUAAAGUGUUGUUUACUACACACUUAGGGACCAUAUAUGUAUAUAUAUAUAUUCCAGUCUGGGUCUUUGUCGUGUUUUGUUGGUUGGCUAUGGCCUUCUUGUUGUUUCAUGGCCACUGCCCGUGAAUUAAGUCAUAUGUGGCCUUGUUUGCUAGACCUUAGUUGCUAAGUUAAAGGGAGUGAAUAGAGCACCAUAUUUCUUCUUCUGCGUGGAAAAUAAGUUGGCAUUAUGCCAAAUUCCACAUUCAUACAUAGAAAGGAAGCAAGGCCAAGUCAUUAUACUUUGUAAUCUCAUCAAUUCUAAUUAUUUCACUUCUUCAUUCUUUAGGGAGUUCAAGUGAAAUACAAAUUUUUCCACAUCCAAUCUCAUAAAUAAUCCGUCUUUGAACUUUCACAAAAAAAUAUUAAAUACCCAUUCACUUUAAUUCUACUAUUCUUAAAUCAUUCAAGUUUUGUGGAAAAUAUGCUUCUUGGAUAAAAUUAUUCAACACACAUGCCUUGAAUUUUAUGCAAUAAAAUAAAUCAAUAUAGGCCACACAUGCUUUGAAUAUUUAAGUAGUCCACAAUUUUGUUCGUUUGUGUGCAAAAUUCUACAUUGCUUGACAGCCAUACAUUCUAAGUAAAUAGACACCCACAUUGUUUACGUAUUAUGAAGAAGAAGACUAAGUCAGUCUACUUUGUAAUCUCAUCAAUCUUAAUUUUCUCAGUUAUUUAGGGAGUUCAAAUGAAAUACAAAAUUUUGGGAAAAAAAAUGUAUCCAAUUUUGUGAAUGAAAAAUAUAUGGUAAAAAGGAUUUGGUAUGGAUACUUCGGCUCGGGUAUCAAUACUCAGGGUAAGUUUAUCGAUACAUUGCUUUUGGUUGGAAAGUGGUGUUGAUAGGUGAUGACUAAAAUUUGAUAAAUUUGAAAAGUACAUGAAAUUUAACGAUUAUUGUUUGGUGAUGACUAAAAUUUUAAAAUUUGAAAAGUACAUGAACUAAAAAUGACCAAAUUAAAGUAUAAAGAUUAAGUCCACAACUUUUGCAAAGUACAAGGACUAAUAGCAGAAAUUAACCUAAAUUUCAUAUGGGUCAAUUACAAAAAUAAUCACUAAACUAUUCCUUUGGUUCUAUUCUAGUCACUCAACUAUAGAGGUGCUCAUGGGCUGAGCCAGGUCAAGCCUAAGUAUGAUAUUAAUGUAUUUUAUACUUGCUCAAGCUUGGCUCGGCCUGAAAUAUGAGCUUAAAAUUUUGCCUGAACUCAUCCAUAUUUGCAAAAGACUAACCCAAGCUCAUUUUAAGCAUGCCUAUAUAAUUUUUAAUUUUUUUUAAAUAUUUAUAUUAUAUUAUAUUAAUUAAUAAUUUAAACAUUUUUUAUUUAUUAAAAUUUUUUAUAGUCAUUUUAACAUUAUUUUAAUGUUUACAUUAUAGUAUUAUUAUAUAUUUAGUAUAAGUAUUUUUUUAAUAUGUUCUAAUUUAUAUAAUAUAAAGUAUUAUACACUUAAAAACGGGCCGGGCUGGGCUUGAGCUUUAGUUGUUACUCAACUAUUAAUUUUUUCGAUUUAGUUGUUAACCUUUUCAAAAGUAAAUAUUUUAGUCAGUCUCCUAUUAGUUGUUGUUAAAUGAGUGACGGAAAGCUAAUGUGAGCUUUUUUUAUUAGUCUAAUAACAAAUUUAGCCCUCCAAUGUUUACACAUUCUAUCAAUUUGAUCGUAAAUAUAAAAAAAAAAUCAACAAAUUUAGCCCUGAAUAUUAACAAAACUUGUCAUUUUAGUUCAAAUUCUAAAAAAUUUAAUAAAUUUAACCUUUAAUAUUUUCAAAAAAAUAGCAAUUUAGUUCUAAUUCUAAAAAUUUUAAUAUAUAUAUUUAAAAAAAUAUUUCUAAUCCUCUGUCUCACCCUUUGAUUUUUUAGAUGAGCUAAAAUCAAAAUAUAUCAUUAUGUCUUUUUGUUUUAAUGCUAAAAGAGAUAAAAAAAAAUGGAAAGCUAAAAUGGCUUUUCGUUUGUGAAGUUACAAAAUGCCAAAUAAAUUAUUAUGUCUUUUUAGUUUUAAUUUUUUACUUGAUUAAAAGAGAAAUAAUUAACGAAUGAAAAAUAAUUAUUCACAAAUAAAUUUAUCAGAAUUUAUAACAAAUGAGAUUUUAAAUUUGAAUUUAUAAAUCAAAAUUUAUAUAUAUAUAUAUAUAAAAGAAAACACAUUUUUAUGAAAUAUAAGAUUUUGUUAAAAGAAAGAGCAUAUAAAAGCAUACACGUUUUUAUGAAAUACAAGAUUUUGCUAAAAGAAAAAGCAUCCAAUUUUAAGAAUGAAAAAUAUAUGGUAAAAGCAUCCAUAACUUUUCAAUAUAAAAGAAAAAAAAGACUAACACCAAUGUUGUGGUAUUAUUUGUUGCCUAUAAAUACCAUUCCUAUCCUUCUUCUUCCUCUACAAACAUAACAUGGCCCCCUAUCUCUUUCUCUGCCUAUUCCUCUUCUUUCCCCAUCUUUAUGCUUCUUUUCUUCUUCAGAAUCUCACUCCUGCUCUUCACUAAUCCAGUUUAAGGACUCUUUUUCCAUCACAAAGGAUGCUUCCUGGUAUUUCGAUUAUAUUACUGGCCUUAAAUCUUAUCCCAAGACAAAUUCAUGGAAGGAGGGUACAGAUUGCUGCUCAUGGGAUGGGGUCACUUGUGACCACCUAAAUGCUCAUGUUAUUGCCCUUGACUUGAGCUGCAGUUGGCUAUAUGGCACCUUCCCUUCCAAUACCACUCUCUUCCUUCUUCCUCACCUUCAAAAACUCAACCUUGCCUACAAUCAUUUUAAUUCUUCCAAAAUUCCAUCCGAGUUCGGUCGGUUUACAAGCCUAUUCUACCUCAACCUUUCCAAUACAUGGUUUUCAGAAGUCCCAUCCCAAGUCUCCCACCUGUCAAAAUUGGUUUCACUUGAUCUCUCCUCUCGGAUUGAUUACUCUGGGCAAGUUACAAUUGACAAACAUGCUCUGGAGGGACUUGUUCACAACCUAACCGAGGUCAGACAUCUGUUUUUGGAUGGAAUCAACAUGACUUCUGUUAAUGCUCAUGUCUUCAUGAAUCUAUCCUCUUCUCUAAGGUCUCUCAGUCUUGCUUUUUGUGAUUUGCAAGGAAAAUUCCCAAAAAACAUUUUUGAUUUGCAAAACCUCAAUCUCCUCAACUUGAGAUACAACCAAUUGAGUGGACAAAUUCCAAGAUCAUUGGGGAACCUCUUGCAACUCACUCAUUUACACUUGUCGGGGAACCAAUUGAGUGGACAAAUUCCAUUGUCAAUUCUAAACCUAACGCAGUUGGAAUACUUGGAAAUAUCUGAAAAUUCUUUAGAAGGUUCCAUUCCAGAUGAGGUAACCGCUUUUCCUAAUCUAAUAUAUUUAUACUUAUCUGACAAUUUACUCAAUGGAACACUUCCGUCAUGGUUGUAUACUGCUCCCUGCUUAAAGGAAAUAUAUCUCUCUCAAAAUCAAUUCAGUGGGC